AAAUAUUACAUGACUAGUGUUUGGUGAUAACCGAUCAAUACAAUUUUCCAAAGAAAUUACAGGAUACACUCCAUUAUAAUUUGAACAAAGCACCCGAAAAAUGGCAAGUGAAUAGUGCGAAAAGUACGAGUAAAUCUUUAGGUAAGAGCGAUGUCAAUUUAGCUGAGAAGGAGGCGUAUGCAAAAAUAUUACUCCACUGCAAAAUUUUAAGACUGUAAAUCAAUUAAUUUUAACCUUGAAGAAUAAGGUGGCAAACUCCUCACCGGCUCCCAAUUCAGCUGUCGAGGUGCAAAUAAUAAAAAAUUCCUUUGGACCUGAUUCGAUUAAUGUGUGUUGAUUAAUAUAUUGAGGGCUCCAUAAACAAAUAUUCCAAAAUAGGGCGAACCAUUUAAAGGUGCAGAGUUUUUGUUGAUUACGAGUCGUCAAACUCAAUGGGCCAACGUUUUAAGAAAACCAAAACACUCUUAGCUUGACCAAUGGUGACAGAAAUAUGAAUUUUGAAACAAAACUGACUGUUAAAUAGGAGACCUAGGCGUAAUACGUUCUAAAGUAGAGUUUUUAAGAUGGUAAUAGUGUAUGUUAGCGUGCUCAAGAUGUAACAAAUUGUUGGAGCACCAUAAUUGUAUUUAAUCUAUGUCAGAUUGUAUGACAUUUGGUCAGAGAAUGACCGCAUACAUAAAAGUAGAGGCAAAUGACACUAUUUUUUGAAGAUCACUAAUGGGGGGACACCAAAAAAAACAUUUACGACAGAAGAAAGUUGAUUAUUGAAAAGUACGCGUUGAGAUCUGUUUGAAAGAUAGGCCGAAAUCCAGUUAAGUAAAUUAGGUGGAAAACCAAGAAGAGAUAGUUUAUGAAGGAGAAGGCUGUGGUCUACUGAAUCAAAUGCCUUUCGGAAGUCAACAUUAGCUAGGCAUUUAUUUAGGAAACGACGGUAGAUGAGAGAAGGAAAUUCAAGAAGAUUUCUAUGUUUAACAAAGCCAUGCUGUGGAAGAAAUUAUGGAGGCACAAAUAUGUGAAGUUGACAAGUGACCAACUGUGCCAAAAGCUUAGGUCUAGCAGAAAGUUUUAGAUAGUUUUCGACAACGGACCUUGGCCCUUUUUUAUGAAUUGGAUUAAUAUCAAUUCAUUCCUUAUUUUUGGGAACUUAUACUUUGAAGAUAAUAAAGAUAUGUUGAAUAGAAAAGUUAUUGGCCAAGACAGCCUGGAAUGAUAUCAGGACCCGCAGAAAAGGACAUAAGGAUACGGAUAAGGAGUGGAUAAGUCAGAGGAUUGUAAAGAGUAGGUUGACUGAAAAGGUUUGCAAAACGAUUAGAAAUGUUUAAAGAUAAUGAUUAAGUUCGGUUGUGUAAAUACAUAGUGGAGGGAUGCGCAUUUCAUUUUCUUUUAGAAUUUACAAAGGGGUAGAAAUAUUUCGGAUCAUUACGAAAGCUUUCUGUACAUUAAGCGAUGUAGCAAUCAUAACAGUGUUCAGAAUCAGUUAAAAACAGAACCAAUUCGUGACAUAAUUUGAAAUAUAUUCUUUGAGGUAUUUUUGAGGUAUGAAAAGUGCCUUUUGAACCAUGGGGGUGUGGAUGUGUCACAUACCGAUACUUGAGGAACGAAAAUAUUAAUCGACGAAUGCAAUGUCAAAUUAAGGAAUUACACUAGAGCCUCUAGAUCAUUACAUGAUUUUAAUGAGGACCAAUGAAUAGCACUCAGAUGCUGGCUUAAACCAAUAAAGUUGGCAUUGCGGACUUAGUCUGAAUUUCUGAAAUGGAUGGUAGUGGUCUUCAGACAGAGAAAAGUGAGAGCUUCUGAAUACAUUUACGAGAGUGUCGUUAUUAACAAAGAUUAAAUCAAGAAAUCUGUCCAUAUGGUUCUUAACAAAGUUUAUCUGGCCCAGAGACAUAUUCGUCGAUAAAAUUGUGCUGACUUUCGGAAAAAAGGGGAUUGUAAUUCACUGAAGAAAGUCAAAACAUGUUAGGUAUAAAAUCGCGCAUCAUAAUAAGGUGGUCCUCAUCGACAGUAGAAGACGAUACUAAAGAAAGGUGUAUUAAAUAGAAAGAAGUAUCAGAUCUAGGUGGAAUGGAAGAGCAAGAUAAAUAAAUAUUAAUGAUAUUGUUACAUAGCAAAAUUUUAGUAUGUAUCGUAUGAUAAGCUCAUACCGAUAUAUUUGCAUGUAUUAUCGAUACUAGAAAUCUUAGUUGUAAACAGACACGUGCACACUUUGAAUAAAACAUAUUGGCGACGAGGAUGGGAUGGUCACGGAAGUUUAGGAACCAUCACAAACAGAUUCUUGGAAGACUACCGGAAUACACCUAAUUGUACAACAGGAGAAACCCCGGUAAAGCUUUUCUUUGGUAGGAGUCUAAAGAUUAGAUUUGACCUCAUGAGUCCACCUACAGUCAGCUCAAGAAUAUUGAAACAACAAGAAAAGAGCAUAAAAAGCUACAAAGGGAAGCGUUUAGAAUCAUUUACUCAGGGACAGAAGGUAUACAUUCGAGACUACACCAAUCCAAAUAAAGCAUCUUGGUCACGGGCAACAAUAGACAAAUGUAUAGGAUUUUGAACUUACUUAUGCAACCUCGCUCACAACCACAGAAUUACAAAGCGUCACACCGAUCAAAUCCGAGCUCCCGAGGAGGACACAAAACGGAUGGAUAACACGGAUCAGGUUCAUGCACAAGUGAGGCACAAUGCUGAUGCACAAAAAAUAUCUUGACAUGUAUCGGUAUAAGAGAUCUUGGUUGAAAACAGAUACGUGCACACUUUGCAGGUUACAUAUUAGCAUCGAGAAAGACGAAUUCCUUAAGUUAACCUUGCAAAUUUCAUCCUUGUAUUACAAGGAAGAUGUAGCAUGUGUACAUGUAUAUGAAUGAUAUUCGGUACAUCUUGGGCAGUAACACUUACGCUGCCUAAGCAUAAGCAAGGCUUCAACACCUUGUUGUUAUGCCAACACAAUAUACAUAAAGCGGCAACUUUGUCGCAGUACGGCUAUUGCCAAGCGCCCACAGAUAUAUUGAAGAACAAUCUGAUAAUACAACAAAAUGUAUUUUGGCCCGGCAUGGUGACUCAGAUUCGAGACUAUGUAGCUAACUGCUCCAUUUGCAAGUCCACCAAGAGUCACAAUCAAAUUCUUAGACCUCCAAUGGGUAAUCCAACUACUUCAGAACGACCGUUCCAAAAACUGUAUAUGGACCUGUUAGGCCCAUACCCUAGUUCUAAGAGCGGCAAUAUCGGCCUAUUAAUAAUAGUCAAACAUUACAAGAAAUUUAAUUUCUUACACCCACUACGAAAAUUCACCUCUGAUAGAAUAUGUGAUUUCCUGGAAAAAUACGUAUUUUUCACUUUCGGAGUUCCGGAAUACAUAUUGACAGACAACGGCUACUAUAAAGCUUUUUUAACCCGAUUCGGUGUUGCACCUGCGUGUACGGCCAUACACUCCCCACAAGCUAACGCGAGCGAGCGAGUGAACCGAUCGGUCUUGGCGACUAUCAGGGCUUACAUCGGAACAGAUCAUACCAAUUGGGACAGAAACAUAGAUGAGAUUAGCGCGACCUUGAGGGCAAGCACGCAUCGUAGCAUAGGAUUUUCGCCGUACUUUUUGUGUUUCGGACAGAAUAUGGUGAUGAACGGCAAGGACUAUGAACUUCUAAGGAAAUUGAAUUUGAUUAGAGACGAUACAGCUUUAAAAACGUCUGAUCUGAUGCAAUUGACUCGGAGGCAGGCACAGGAAAAAGUAAGGGAAGCUCACGUCGCUAACGCUAAAGUGUAUGACUUGCGUAGCCGUUCAGUUCAUUUUAAAGUAGGCGAUACUGUAUACGCUCGUAGCUUUGCACAGACAAACGCAGCGAAGAAGUUUAUCAUAAUAAAGUGUGGAAGAAAAUUAGUCAUAUAUACUACGAAUUAGCCUCCGAAGAUGGCAAACUGGGGGUAUACCACUUAAAAGAUAUAAGGUCCUAAAAGAAGAAUGCCCGACCUUUUUCAGUUAAUACUUCUUCGAGAUAGGACUCUAGCAGUAAUAGCAAUAAACAAAACGUAUCCCGUAUGUCAAAUCGGAUAGGCCCGGGCAGGAAUGUAGAGAAGACUUCCAAUCGGUUAUGUCUGCUGAGUCGCGUUGCACACACACACACACACACCUACUUAGAUCUCUCUCUCUCUCUCUCUCUCGCUCUCUAUCGGCGUGCGAAAGGCAAAGAAGGAAAAAUUAGCGAGUUUGGGAAAAGUCCCGUUUAUUGUGGAUCUAGAAGUUUCCAAUUCGCGCUGCCUGAAACAACGCUAAGAGAUGCUCGCUCACUUGAUUUUGGGAACCAUAAGCCAUCACAAGUAUUUGGUCAGCAGAAUUAAUUUCAACUUGCAAUAUCGACACGUGCAUAAACUGUACCCCAAAAGCCAGAGAGGACGUAGACCACGCGCACAAGAAGAAAAGAGCCUAUUGUUAAAACAAUAGAGUCGUUCAAACUGCAAAGAGCACGUACAUCGGAGGCCGGCCAUAAAGCACACGCGCUCGUCGCGGGUGCUGUUGCGCUUACAUCUUUAUAACAAAAUACAUAUUUGUACAUCCCCGUGACUGGCCGGCCGAUAUUUUGCUGCGAAACUGGGAAAUCUGUACGUUGCUGAAGCCCACAUAUACCAACACGUGAAAUAACACAACAACAUAACACCCAUACCAGCAGAGCCCAGCUAAGGUUACUGCAGGUUUGGGAGCUUGCAACCGAAUCUUCGUAAACGCCGCAUACGGAACUUUGAGCGGUGCACAAGUUAUACCUGGCCGGAACUUGGAAAAACGCAUACCGACGCGUGGAGCCCUAACCUAGAACAUCAGAAGACUCGCACAACAGCUUUCGGGAGUACCUGCGGAUUAUACAAUUUCUGGGCGGAAAUAAACAGGCCCAAAGGAGAUCGGCGCAGCAAACCUGUGAAGAGGGAUUGCCACUUCUAGCAGCAUGUAGUCCGCUACGGAGUACAACCGAUGCAAGCCCACAUACUUGCAAAAACAGCGCCUACACUGACAGACGUCGGCGAUACCGAUCGCCCAUAAGAGAAGUCCUAUUGUUUUGAUUUAGUUUGAACCUUUUCUUUUUUUUUUGAGAAUCAGACAUUGUUCUUAUUAGCUGUUUCUUUUUAUUUAGCAUAUAAAUUAAGUGAAUGCCAGAUGCCACAACUAAUAACCACGCUCUUUGAGAAGUAAUAAACAGCACCUGCAUUUUCGAUGCGCCCAACGAAUCGGCAGCGGAAAAUAUCCUAACUGCCAAUGGACCCUUUGGAGGAAGCUGUCAAGUGCAUGGCCCCGUGUUGCCACUCACUCAUUGUAGCUC